rnacentral:rRNA from 1 species
UACGGAGGGAGCUAGCGUUGUUCGGAAUUACUGGGCGUAAAGCGCACGUAGGCGGCUUUGUAAGUUAGAGGUGAAAGCCCGGAGCUCAACUCCGGAACUGCCUUUAAGACUGCAUCGCUUGAAUCCAGGAGAGGUGAGUGGAAUUCCGAGUGUAGAGGUGAAAUUCGUAGAUAUUCGGAAGAACACCAGUGGCGAAGGCGGCUCACUGGACUGGUAUUGACGCUGAGGUGCGAAAGCGUGGGGGGCAAACAGG